rnacentral:rRNA from 1 species
UACAGAGGUCUCAAGCGUUGUUCGGAUUCAUUGGGCGUAAAGAGCGUGUAGGCGGCUUUGCAAGUCCGUUGUGAAAACUCGAGGCUCAACCUCGAGACGCCGGUGGAAACUGCAAAGCUAGAGUCCGGAAGAGGAGAGUGGAAUUCCUGGUGUAGCGGUGAAAUGCGCAGAUAUCAGGAAGAACACCCGUGGCGAAGGCGGCUCUCUGGGACGGUACUGACGCUGAGACGCGAAAGCGUGGGGAGCGAACAGG